AAAGAGAGAAGAACACAGUGUCUAGUUGGAUAUAAGCUGCACAUUGACGUAACUACAGUAAGCAAGCUACUACGUGCAGCAGGCGCGGUUAUUACGUAGGUGGCAGCGUAUCCGGAAUAUUGGGCGUAAGCGCGCGCCAGUGGUUUUCUUAAGUUUGAUUGUGAAGCCCACGGGCUCCACCCGUGGAGGGUCCAUUGGAAACUUGGGAGACCUUGAGGUGCAGAAAGAGGAAAGUGGAAUUCCAUGUGGUAGCGGGUGAAAUGCGGUAGAGAGAUAUUGGAGGAACACACCAGUGGGCGGAAGGCGGACUUUCUUGGUCUUGUAACUGACACUUGAGGGCGCCGGAAAGCGUGGGGGAGCAAAACAGGAUUAGAAUAACCUGGUAGUUCACGCCGUAAACGAUGAGUGGUAAGUGUUAGAGGGUUUCCGCCCUUUAGUGCUGAAGUUAACGCCUUAAGCAAUCCGCCUGGGGAGUUCGGCCGCAAGGCUGAAACUCAAAGGAAUUGACGGGGGCCCGCACCAGCGGUGGAGCAUGUGGUUUAAUUUGAAGCAACGCGAAGAACCUUACCAGGUUUUGACAUCCUUUGACAACCCUAGAGAUAGGGGUUUUCCUUUGGGAGCCGAGUGACAGGUGGUGCAUGGUUGUUGUCAGGUUGUGUUGUGAGAUGUUGGGUUAAGUUCCGCAACGAGCGCAACCCUUGAUUUUAGUUGCCAUCCUUUAGUUGGGCCCUUUAAGGUGACUGCCGGUGACAAACCGGAGGAAGGUGGGGAAGACGUCAAAUCAUCCUGCCCCUUAUGACCUGGGGUACCCCCGUGGUUCAAUGGACGGUACAAAGAGGUGCAAGGCCGCGAGGUGGAGGUAAUUUUAUAAAACCGUUUUCAGUUUGGAUUGUAGGGUGCAACUUGCCUACCUGAAGCCGGAAUCGGUUGUAAUCGCGGAUCAGCCUGCCGCGGGGAAUACGUUCCCGGGCCUUGUACACCCCGCCCGUCACCCCCCGAGAGUUUGUAACACCCGAAGUCGGUGGGGUAACCUUUUUGGAGCCAGCCGCCUAAGGUGGACAGAUAUGGUAACGUCUAGU
rnacentral:rRNA from 1 species